rnacentral:rRNA from 1 species
AGCGAACGCUGGCGGCAUGCCUAACACAUGCAAGUCGCACGGGGGGGCUUCGGCCUCCCAGUGGCGGACGGGUGAGGAACGCGUAGGGACCUGUCGAGGGGUGGGGGAUAACCGCGGGAAACUGCGGCUAAUACCGCAUGACGCCGCGGCGUGACAGCCGGGGCCAAAGGCGAAAGCCGCCCGCCGAGGGGCCUGCGUCCGAUUAGCUGGUUGGCGGGGUAGCGGCCCACCAAGGCGUCGAUCGGUAGCUGGUCUGAGAGGGUGAUCAGCCACACCGGGACUGAGACACGGCCCGGACUCCUACGGGAGGCAGCAGUGGGGAAUAUUGGACAGUGGGCGCAAGCCUGAUCCAGCAAUGCCGCGUGGGUGAAGAAGGUCUUCGGAUUGUAAAGCCCUUUCGGCGGGGACGAUGGUGACGGUACCCGCAGAAGAAGCCCCGGCUAACUUCGUG